UGCUGUGCUUUGAACUUUAAGAGAAGUGAACUAACAGGACAAUUGUCAGUUAGUUUUUUUUCGACAGGCCCAAAAGUGAAGUGAAAGUGAAGUGGCCCACCAGGAAUCCGCCCGAAUCUCCCGAUUACCCACCCCGACCCUGGAGCUAGCAAUGCGGGCAGCCGAGCUGAAGUAAAUGCAGCCAUCACAAGUUAGUGACACCAAUGGAAAAAUCCUCACUUUGGUUUGCUUGGGAGGCAGUUCUCCGUCUGCAGAACUGUGUGAUAGUGAAUGUGACUUGAAUAAAAUAAAAUAAAUGAUAAAUGAUGGAGUUGAUGCUGAUUCAGGAAGACAGAGACCGUGGAUGUCUUAAAGCUGCUGUCGACGUAAGAGCGGGGCUGGAUCGAUUGAGGGGCUCGUCCACUGUGCGCCCACCUACACCUGAAACCAUUCACCGAUUGCAUGGACCAGCUGUCAAUCAUGAUGCAGGCUUCAGGCACUUCCACACUGGCUUCAUUAUCUGGAUCCAGUGACUACGUCCAUUUAUAUCUAUAUAAAGUAUUUAACUCUGAUCUCCAUGUGGAAAUCUAGUUUUUGCUGCUGUAAAAUGUUUUGUUUUCCCUGGAGGUUAAAGGUGACAUAUUAUUCUCAUAUUUAGGUUUAUACUUUUUAAUUUGAGUUACCACUUGAAAAGGUUUACAUACUCUUAUAUUCUGAAAAGAUAUCAGUGUUUUCAUACUGCCCAUUCCUGCAGAUCCCCUUUUCACGGCAAUUUUUUUUGUCUAAAACGCCUGAAUUUCUAUCAGGCCCGCCUCCCGAUAAAAACUCCAGGCUGCUCUAAUUGCCCAGCUGGACCAGUCUGUUGUGAUUGGUCAACCGAUUUCAAAAUGUGUAGGAAAUGUCAUGCCCCCAAAAGAGUCACAGUGGGAGAAAAUAUGAACCAGUUGUUCAGAGCCAGGCUGUCGGUUUUGAUUUGACAUUUUCAACAUGGAAGAGGCAGCGCUAGCUAGUCAUGUUAAAGGAGCUGAGCUGCUGCUGUGCGUGAAUUAAAUCUCAACCCCAUCACAGUUUUUUCAGUUUUUUUUGACCAAUGCAAUACUCGCCGCCACCCAAACUAGGCAUUUUCGGGUGCUGUGUCCAGAAACGAAGCCCUAACUGCAGCGGUACUCUGGGAGCUAAAGGUGGCUAACCCUCACUAUUUUUUCAAAUCAUGUGAAGUCAUAAGCCAGCUAUGGGACAUGCCAUGGUGAAGACUAAAUAUAUCGGCUCAGAGUUUUGGGUCAUUCAACAGCUCAUGAUAUCGCUGAGAAAAUGAAGGACUUGCUUUCAGAGAUUGGUAAAUUGUUUUUUAUAUAUAUACACAAACGUUUCAGAGAGUGUAUGGUCUUUAAAAAUUUGCCUCAAAGGCAUGAAAAAGGUAUGGAAAACUCAUGAAAAUUCAUUGGUAAAAAUGUGUAUGAACCCUGUACAUAGGGCCUAUAUGAAACAAACUCAGUGCUCCAGCCUACAUGACUUACAUUAGCUAUUGGUCUUGGGUCAGGUUCAGACAUUAAAACAGAACCUCUGUCACAUUCAGGUCGGUCUUGGUUACCACACUGAACACUAGUAGAAACAGCAACAUUUUUGAGGAAAUAUGGCCCUUGAAAUUUAGAUUAAAAAAAAUUGACAUUUGACACAUGAAUUUUUAUAGUUGAAGUAAUGUCACAUGUCAUAUUCUGUCUGGAACAAAUCAAAAUAUUUGAGAGUGCAUUAAAAUGAAGACUGAAUUUGCUCAAUGCCUCUGGCAUUGCUUGUUUUAAAUGCACACAGAUUGCUCCUUGGGCAAAAUCGUAUUCAAUAAUUUAAAAGGUUUCAAGUUAACAAACCAGGUUGGCUUUGAUUAACAAAAAAAAAAAUCCAACUAGAUGCAUCCAUUUGUGCAGAUAAUGCUUCCUUUGGUAUUUGAGGAUGGUUAAAAAUAAAGCUUCUUUUUUUUCAUUCUUCACCAAGAAAGGUCUCCACUUCCUCCUCUUAUAUAAGAGUGGGUGUUGGGUCUGCUUGCUUGACCAUGAAUGGGCCUUUGUGUACACCAGUCAGUCUGUGGCAUUGAUUUAACAGAUGCUUGCGGCUGGAAUGGUGACUGCAAAUGGAUCAAUGAUAUUUUCUUAAAUCUUUUUAUCGAAUGGAUUAGAUGACAGCCAUAUGGCAUAUGGCAAUGUUGAAAUCACUAUCUCCCUUUUAGGAUAUUUCUCUUUGCAACAAAAGGCUUUCUUUGUCUCACUUGCUUUGUUGUCAAGCCAGGGGCUUUGGUUUUCAUUUAGCAUCCUUAUUAUGUGUAACGCAGCAGAAUGAAGGGAAAGGAGGCGAAAAAAUGCAUGAGAAAGUCCUGAACCUCUUCCAGUCUGGCUUUCACAGUAAUUGAAGCAUUUUCAGUUUGACCCAAGCUUGUUCAGAACUCAUCUGAUAACCUUCAGGAGGAAGCCUAACCUUCUGUGAGUGUUCAAGUGGCUGAACAGAAAAGGGAUUUUGGACCAGUAAUGGGGUUAUGAAUGCAUUGAAGGGGCAGACUUUUUUUCUUCUUUUAAUGUUUGUUUGUGUAAUUGGUGAAUUAAGUGGUGAUUUCCCCCAAGAUUGUGUUCUUGUCCGAGCAGAAAAGCAACUAAAACCAUUUAAAC
ensembl:lncRNA